CAUACCCAACACUACGGAAUAGCCUUUGGAAACGAAGAGUAAUACCGUAUACGCCCUUCGGGGAAAGAUUUAUCGGAUUUGGAUCGGCCCGCGUUAGAUUAGGUAGUUGGUGGGGUAACGGCCUACCAAGCCUACGAUCUAUAGCUGGUUUUAGAGGAUGAUCAGCAACACUGGGACUGAGACACGGCCCAGACUCCUACGGGAGGCAGCAGUGGGGAAUCUUGGACAAUGGGCGCAAGUGAUCCAGCCAUGCCGCGUGAGUGAUGAAGGCCUUAGGGUCGUAAAGCUCUUUCGCCAGGGAUGAUAAUGACAGUACCUGGUAAAGAAACCCCGGCUAACUCCGUGCCAGCAGCCGCGGUAAUACGGAGGGGGUUAGCGUUGUUCGGGAUUACUGGGCGUAAAGCGUACGUAGGCGGAUUAGUCAGUCAGAGGUGAAAUCCCAGGGCUCAACCCUGGAACUGCCUUUGAUACUGCUAGUCUUGAGUUCGAGAGAGGUAAGUGGAAUUCCGAGUGUAGAGGUGAAAUUCGUAGAUAUUCGGAGGAACACCAGUGGCGAAGGGGCUUACUGGCUCGAUACUGACGCUGAGGUACGAAAGUGUGGGGAGCAAACAGGAUUAGAUACCCUGGUAGUCCACACCGUAAACGAUGAAUGCCAGUCGUCGGGUAGCAUGCUAUUCGGUGACACACCUAACGGAUUAAGCAUUCCGCCUGGGGAGUACGGUCGCAAGAUUAAAACUCAAAGGAAUUGACGGGG
rnacentral:rRNA from 1 species